rnacentral:misc_RNA from 1 species
UUGUUGUUGCUAAAUGCUCCAUUUGUUUUAGGGAAUGCCAGUUGAAGAUUUUUUUUUUCCUUUUCCUAAUCAGGUUUUUGCAUUGAUCCAUGGGCUUAUAUUCUUUCUAAUCCACUAGUUUUUACUCUAAUGACUGUCUUCUAAUCUUGAAAAUCUCUAAUUUGUAUUUCUAGAAUCUAGAAUGAUGGCACUAAAUGUUGCUGAUCUAUUAUUCAGUUUAGUACAUG